rnacentral:rRNA from 1 species
UCUGGGACAAGCCCUGGAAACGGGGUCUAAUACCGGAUAUCACUUCCAUUCGCAUGGGUGGGGGUUGAAAGCUCCGGCGGUGAAGGAUGAGCCCGCGGCCUAUCAGCUUGUUGGUGAGGUAAUGGCUCACCAAGGCGACGACGGGUAGCCGGCCUGAGAGGGCGACCGGCCACACUGGGACUGAGACACGGCCCAGACUCCUACGGGAGGCAGCAGUGGGGAAUAUUGCACAAUGGGCGAAAGCCUGAUGCAGCGACGCCGCGUGAGGGAUGACGGCCUUCGGGUUGUAAACCUCUUUCAGCAGGGAAGAAGCGAAAGUGACGGUACCUGCAGAAGAAGCGCCGGCUAACUACGUGCCAGCAGCCGCGGUAAUACGUAGGGCGCAAGCGUUGUCCGGAAUUAUUGGGCGUAAAGAGCUCGUAGGCGGCUUGUCACGUCGGGUGUGAAAGCCCGGGGCUUAACCCCGGGUCUGCAUUCGAUACGGGCUAGCUAGAGUGUGGUAGGGGAGAUCGGAAUUCCUGGUGUAGCGGUGAAAUGCGCAGAUAUCAGGAGGAACACCGGUGGCGAAGGCGGAUCUCUGGGCCAUUACUGACGCUGAGGAGCGAAAGCGUGGGGAGCGAACAGGAUUAGAUACCCUGGUAGUCCACGCCGUAAACGGUGGGAACUAGGUGUUGGCGACAUUCCACGUCGUCGGUGCCGCAGCUAACGCAUUAAGUUCCCCGCCUGG